AGGAAGGUGGCUUUGAGGUGGUGGAAGACCAAACACAGCAGGCAUCCCAGGGGGCUUGUUGUCACCUUUCGGGGACCCUUGGUGUUGUACGUGGCUGGGUGGAGGAAGAGACCUUCAAUGACAUCAGUGAGGACAAGGAACGGGACAUGGCUAGCUUGUUGUUUCCAAAAGGUUUAUUGAAAGCCUCCAACCCUGUUGUGUGUGACACUUGCUGUCAGCUAAAGCCUGAUCUUAUUCAAGAAAAACAAGAAUUGGACCUGCUGCCAGCCGAAGCUUGCUCCGCCUGCCCUGCGGUCUUUAUCAUUUGCGCAUCACAGGACACUACCUCUUUUUUUCUAGUUGUUUCCAAAAGGUUCAUUGAAAGCCUCCAAUCCUGUUGCGUGUGACACUUGCUGUCAGCUAAAGCCUGAACUUAAUCAAGAAAUACAAGAACUGGACCUGCCGCCAGCCGAAGCUUGCUCAGCCUGCCCUGUAGUCAUUAUCAUUUGCGCAUCACAGCACACUACCUCUUUGUUCUAGUUGGAAGAUAAAGGGCAGUUUGAGAAUGUCUUCAUCAGAGGAUUCUACUACAGCAGAGACGGAUGAUAUAACAAUUCGUAAUGUCACAAAGAAAUCAUUGAAGCCACCAAAGAAAAAGAGAUGGACAACUUAUUGCAAGACAUGGGAGGAAGAUCCAGACUUCCAGGAUUGGAUUUGUGGUCAUGACAAGCAUGAUGCUUACUGUAUCUUAUGUAAAGUUAAUUUCAGA